CUCACCUAUUUUCUUUCCAUCUGCAGAAAUUCAAGCGGUCAGCUCUGCCUUUUUUACCAUUCAACACACACUUCUGAGCUGAAUAACCCCAAGUAUGGUGCCUCUAAGAAAGUGAAGUGCAGCGGUAUCUCAGAAGCAUCCGGAGCACAGCAGGGCUGUACGUACCAAUUUCUGUCACAGCAGUACUUCUUCACGUGGAAUCUCCUGGUUAUUUCUUCAGCAUUUAAAGCUCCGGGCAAAUCCUGCUUGUUUGCUAGCACGAUGACCGGUACGUUUUUUAUAGAUUCAUUCUUUAAAAGGAGUUCAAAUUCUUUCUUUGAUUCCUCUAAGCGUUGCUUAUCAGCGCUGUCCACAACAUACAGGAGUGCUUCUGCAUUUUCCAGGAAAUUGCACCAACGCUGCCUCAUUUUCUCUUGUCCUCCAACAUCCCAAAAAGUCAGUGUAAAAUCUUUCCCAGUUUCGAUCAUAUCGACAUUAAAGCCGAUUGUUGGAAUUGUUAGAAAAACUUCAUCAGACUUGAACUUGUACAACAGAGUAGAUUUCCCUGCAGAAUCAAGUCCUAACAUCAGUAUAUUAGCUUGUUUUACUUUGGAGUGCUUGGUGAUCUGGAGGCCCAUUUGUGCCGUGGUUUCUGUAUUAAACCUUUAAAGGCGGAAUUCGCU
rnacentral:lncRNA from 1 species